GCCCGGCUAGCUCAGUCGGUGAGAGCACGAACUCUUAAUCUCGGGGUCGAUAAGUUCAACCCGUUGGGCG